rnacentral:lncRNA from 1 species
AGAAAUAUGUCAUGAAGCUGUUAUCAAUAGUCCUGGCUCAAACCAAGAUAGCAUGAGAGUCUCAAGGCUGUGGGCUCCCUGGCUAGGUUCUCAAUAAAGAUUGCCUCUACAGGCCUCAGUGGCAACCCCGUCAGGACCCCUCUCACUCCUGAGAGCUUUCUCUGUGCCUUUUCUUAAUAAACUUCUAUCUCUUCACUCACUCUCUGUUGUGCUCCACAUUCGUUCUUCUGUUCCAUGAGACAAGAACCAAGCUCUCCUGUAUCACCUCUGUUUGGCGAUUUGCAAAAACAAUCUUACGCUAUAAAACGAGAAAAGAGCUCGCUGUGUUCCUUCCUCUUGAGGACAUUUUAUUUCCUGAAGUAGAAAGAACAUUUCAACUAACACAGAGCUUGGUAUUGAGCUGUACUUUUUGGAGGAUGUCAAUCAUAAAGGAAAAGUCUUUGCUUCCAGUUGCUGUGACUAGAAGCAUGCUUGCUGAGGAACCUCCAGCCUUGGACUAA